rnacentral:rRNA from 1 species
GGAGUUUGGACCGUGUCUCAGUUCCAAUGUGGGGGACCUUCCUCUCAGAACCCCUACUGAUCGUCGGCUAGGUGGGCCGUUACCCCGCCUACUACCUAAUCAGACGCAUCCCCAUCCAUAAGCGAUAAAUCUUUAUUCCAUCUUAGAUGUCUACGACGGAAACCAUAGGGCAUUAAUCUUACUUUCGCAAGGCUAUUCCCUACUCAGGGGAAGGUUGGAUACGCGUUACUCACCCGUGCGCCGGUCGCCGACAGAAUUAGCAAGCUAAUUCCUCGCUGCCCCUCCGACUUGCAUGUGUUAAGCCUGUAGCUAGCGUUCAUC